rnacentral:rRNA from 1 species
AGAAUCAACGCUGGCGGCGUGCCUAACACAUGCAAGUCGAACGAGAAAGUGGAGCAAUCCAUGAGUAAAGUGGCGCACGGGUGAGUAACACGUGACUACCUACCCUCGAGUGGGGAAUAACCUCGGGAAACCGGGGCUAACACCGCAUAAUAUCUACGGAUCAAAUGCGAAAGCAGCUUGAGGAGGGGGUCGCGGCCGAUUAGCUAGUUGGUGAGGUAAUGGCUCACCAAGGCAAUGAUCGGUAGCCGGCCUGAGAGGGCGCACGGCCACACUGGAACUGAAACACGGUCCAGACUCCUACGGGAGGCAGCAGUGGGGAAUUUUGCGCAAUGGGGGAAACCCUGACGCAGCAACGCCGCGUGGAGGAUGAAGCCCCUUGGGGUGUAAACUCCUUUCGAUCGGGACGAUUAUGACGGUACCGGAAGAAGAAGCACCGGCUAACUCUGUGCCAGCAGCCGC